rnacentral:rRNA from 1 species
GACGAACGCUGGCGGCGUGCUUAACACAUGCAAGUCGAACGGAAAGUGCUCUUCGGAGUGACUCGAGUGGCGAACGGGUGAGUAACACGUGGGUGAUCUGCCCUGCACUUUGGGAUAAGCCUGGGAAACUGGGUCUAAUACCGAAUAGGACCCUGGCCUUCAUGGGUUGUGGUGGAAAGCUUUUGCGGUGUGGGAUGGGCCCGCGGCCUAUCAGCUUGUUGGUGGGGUAAUGGCCUACCAAGGCGACGACGGGUAGCCGGCCUGAGAGGGUGACCGGCCACCCUGGGACUGAGAUACGGCCCAGACUCCUACGGGAGGCAGCAGUGGGGAAUAUUGCACAAUGGGCGCAAGCCUGAUGCAGCGACGCCGCGUGAGGGAUGACGGCCUUCGGGUUGUAAACCUCUUUCAGUAGGGACGAAGCGCAAGUGACGGUACCUAUAGAAGAAGGACCGGCCAACUACGUGCCAGCAGCCGCAGUAA